GACGAACGCUGGCGGCGUGCUUAACACAUGCAAGUCGAACGAUGAAGCCGGAGCUUGCUCUGGUGAAUUAGUGGCGAACGGGUGAGUAACACGUGAGUAACCUGCCCUUGACUCUGGGAUAACUGCGGGAAACUGUAGCUAAUACCGGAUACGACCCUCGGAGGCAUCUCCUGGGGGUGGAAAGAAUUUCGGUCAAGGAUGGACUCGCGGCCUAUCAGCUAGUUGGGGAGGUAAAGGCUCACCAAGGCGACGACGGGUAGCCGGCCCGAGAGGGUGACCGGCCACACUGGGACUGAGACACGGCCCAGACUCCUACGGGAGGCAGCAGUGGGGAAUAUUGCACAAUGGGCGCAAGCCUGAUGCAGCACCGCCGCGUGAGGGAUGACGGCCUUCGGGUUGUAAACCUCUUUUAGUAGGGAAGAAGCGAAAGUGACGGUACCUGCAGAAAAAGCACCGGCUAACUACGUGCCAGCCGCCGCGGUAA
rnacentral:rRNA from 1 species